UUGACGGGGCCCGCACAAACGGUGAGCAUGUGGUUAAUUCGACGCAACGCGAAGAACCUUACCAGGCUUGACAUCCCCUGACCGCGUAUGAAAGUACGUUUUCACCCUCGGGUGACAGGGAGACAGGUGGUGCAUGGUUGUCGUCAGCUCGUGUCGUGAGAUGUUGGGUUAAGUCCCGCAACGAGCGCAACCCCUACGUUUAGUUGCUAACGCGUGAAGGCGAGCACUCUAGACGAACUGCCGUUGACAAAACGGAGGAAGGUGGGAUGACGUCAAAUCAUCAUGCCCCUUAUGUUCUGGGCUACACACGUGCUACAAUGGCCGGUACAGACGGACGCAAAGCCGCGAGGUGGAGCAAAUCCUAAAAAGCCGGUCUCAGUUCGGAUUGCAGGCUGCAAUUCGCCUGCAUGAAGUCGGAAUCGCUAGUAAUCGCAGGUCAGCAUACUGCGGUGAAUACGUUCCCGGGCCUU
rnacentral:rRNA from 1 species